AUACAGUGUUUUUGAGAAUCAAUACACUAUCACAAAACAUAAUAUUGUGAUAUUCAAUUUUUUCAAUAUUUUGUUACACCCCUAUCGUUUUGACAAUAUAUAUGGUCAUAUUGGCCAGCCCUAGUUAACAUGAGUUAUAAGCACAAUGGCACCACCCAUCUAAUGACUUGGGAGGGUUUACUCAAAGAGGAGGUUGGAAAUUCUCAGUAGUAGAACUGCUUCAUUUAAUGCAACAACAAACUGAUGAGCUUAUUUUCUUCAAAAUAACCAAACAAACACAAAAAAAGAAAAACACAAAAUGCUCAUCGUAUUCCUUUGCAUUACUUUUAACUCUAUUCUGGUUUCAGGUUCCUCUCUCAGUGACCAGGUUUACAUGAGUCCAGCUGACAUAAUCAACCAACAUGAAGAAACAGCAACAAUCGAAUGUUCACACAGUAUUGACAACUAUGAUCGAAUCCUCUGGUACAAGCAAACGAAGGACAGUCAACUACAGUUCCUGGGAUACAUGAUAGGCACUUUAGGAGAGCCAGAGACUGGACUGGAUGUGAAGAUGGAAGGAAGUGCAGCUAAAGACCAGACCUGCAUAUUAACAAUUGAAGGACUCAGUCUGAGCAGCAGUGCAGUGUACUUCUGUGCUGCUAGUCUACACAGUGCUUCAUAUCACUGCUCCUCAGUACAAAAACCUCCUCAUCUCAGUAUAACAGCUCACAGCCCCACACAGCUGCGUUCCUUCCUCAGUAUAUCAUUAUUCAGAUCUUUAUCCUGAGUAGGGCUGCACAAUUUUGAACAAAUAUCUAAUAGCAAUUAUUUUGACUGAUAUUACAAUUGCGAUAUGAUUAAAAAACAUUAAAAUGAUUAUGGUGUGAUUUUUGCAGAGAUCUGUACCAAACAAAGAUGUUUUCUUAAACCUGUAGAGUAUGAUGUGCAGGCCAGGACAUCUCUGUAGCACCACAAUAUUUAAUUUAAAAUGGUAUUUUGACACACAUUUCACCUUUAACAAAUAUUGCAAUUUCCUCCUUAUCCUGUGAUUUGAAAAUUGCAGUAGUCC